GCUUACGGCCAUACCACCUGAGGCACGCCCGAUCUCGUCUGAUCUCGGAAGCUAAGCAGGGUCGGGCCUGGUUAGUACUUGGAUGGGUGACCGCCUGGGAAUACCAGGUGCUGUAAGCA
ensembl:rRNA 5S_rRNA 5S ribosomal RNA